UGGGUUGCCUUGUCAGGUUGAUUCCGGUAACGAACGAGACCUCAACCUGCUAAAUAGUCAGGAUCGAUUUUUUCGGUUGGCCGACUUAUUAGAGGGACUGUUGGCGACUAGCCAAUGGAAGUUUGAGGCAA
rnacentral:rRNA from 1 species